CCGAGUCACUGAAAUCGCAGGAAGAGCCUUUGCAUCGUCGAGAGAUUGCUUGCAUCAUCGAUCUUAGCUGCCACCUCUGCGACUGCUUUUUCACCUUCUCGGCCUUCUUUGCUCCACAGAUUCGUCAUCGUUGUUCUCCCCAUCCUCACCGGAGCUUUGAUCUCCUCGGAGCAAGAUCGUCUGCGUCGACAUUGGUUGCCCUCUAAGUUUCGAGAAUCUGCCAGCGUAGAUCCUCCGAUUCAGAACUCGUGGCCUCCGUGGAAAAACUUGUAUGUACGAAACAAGGAUAGCACUGUUUUGCUAUCCCCGGCCAAUCACAUCUACCACGUGGAAA
rnacentral:lncRNA from 1 species